rnacentral:lncRNA from 1 species
GACCGAGCUGUCCAGUGCAGCGGGGAAAGAGCAGGGCUGUGACUAAUCCCCUGGCAUGCUCUGCUAGCCAAGGGCUUCAGAAUGCAAAACCAGACAUCCCAAGAGCAGCCUGUGCAUUAUAAGGCUGUCCCCCACCAACCCUGGACAGUGAACAAGAUUGAAGACAGAUCUGUGUCGAUCUUGAGUGCUGUUGGGAAUAAAUGCCCAGCAUGAAGCUGACAAGAGUGGCCACCGGGCUGGACCAACUUCAACCAAGGGCAAAGUUUUGAGUGCAUGUGGAAUGGAGCUCUUCUUGAAACAAGCACUGGAGACUGAUCACCAGAAGGUUCUAGGCUAGUCUGAACAGAAGGAAUGCACAAAGAAGUAACAUGUUAGAGGUUAAAGUUGUAUAUUGCAUCCUAUGUCCAUGUUGUUUACUUAGGUGGCAUUAGUGCCAAUGAAAAGCCCC